GACGAACGCUGGCGGCGUGCUUAACACAUGCAAGUCGAACGGAAAGGCCCUGCUUUUGUGGGGUGCUAGAGUGGCGAACGGGUGAGUAACACGUGAGUAACCUGCCCUUGACUUUGGGAUAACUUCAGGCAACUGGGGCUAAUACCGGAUAGGAGCUCCUGCUGCAUGGUGGGGGUUGGAAAGUUUCGGCGGUUGGGGAUGGACUCGCGGCUUAUCAGCUUGUUGGUGGGGUAGUGGCUUACCAAGGCAUUGACGGGUAGCCGGCCUGAGAGGGUGACCGGCCUCAUUGGGACUGAGAUACGGCCCAGACUCCUACGGGAGGCAGCAGUGGGGAAUAUUGCACAAUGGGCGGAAGCCUGAUGCAGCAACGCCGCGUGCGGGAUGACGGCCUUCGGGUUGUAAACCGCUGUCGCCUGUGACGAAGCGUGAGUGACGGUAAUGGGUAAAGAAGCACCGGCUAACUACGUG
rnacentral:rRNA from 1 species